rnacentral:rRNA from 1 species
ACAGCAGCAGCCGCGGUAAUACGAAGGGUGCAAGCGUUAAUCGGAAUUACUGGGCGUAAAGCGCGCGUAGGCGGUUUGUUAAGUCUGUUGUGAAAUCCCCGGGCUCAACCUGGGAAUGGCAAUGGAUACUGGCAAGCUAGAGUGUGUCAGAGGAUGGUGGAAUUCCCGGUGUAGCGGUGAAAUGCGUAGAGAUCGGGAGGAACAUCAGUGGCGAAGGCGGCCAUCUGGGACAACACUGACGCUGAGGCACGAAAGCGUGGGGAGCAAACAGGAUUAGAUACCCGAGUAGUCCCUGUCUCUUAUAA